CAGCCGCCGCGGUAAUACCGGCGGCCCGAGUGGCGGUCACUAUUAUUGGGCUUAAAGCGUCCGUAGCCGGGUUGGGAAGUCCUCCGGGAAAUCUGGCCGCUUAACGGUCAGAAUGCCGGAGGAUACUCCCAGCCUAGGGAGCGGGCGAGGCCGAGGGUAUUCCCGGAGUAGGGGGGAAAUCCUAUAAUCCCGGGAGGACCACCGGUGGCGAAGGCGCUCGGCUGGAACGCGUCCGACGGGGAGGGACGAAGGCCAGGGGAGCAAACCGGAUUAGAUACCCGGGUAGUCCUGGCUGUAAACGAUGCGGACUUUGUGUCGGACAAGCUAUGAGCUGGUCCGGUGCCGGAGGGAAACCGUUAAGUCCGCCGCCUGGGGAGUACGGCCGCAAGGCUGAAACUUAAAGGAAUUGGCGGG
rnacentral:rRNA from 1 species